ACAAUGAAUCUCUUCAUUAACACCUUGUGUGCAAUGUUUGUUGGGAAAGUCUUUUCUUUCCCUUCAUAAAUAUCAACCUAUAUCUUUAACAACAUUCGUCUGAUAACAUAUUAUGAAUAUACUUAAUUCAAAAUA
rnacentral:misc_RNA from 1 species